rnacentral:rRNA from 1 species
UACAGAGGGUGCGAGCGUUAAUCGGAAUUACUGGGCGUAAAGGGCGUGUAGGUGGGAUAAUAAGUCAGCUGUGAAAAACCUGGGCUUAACCUAGGGAAGUCAUUUGAUACUGUUAUUCUAGAGUGAAGUAGAGGGUAGUGGAAUUUCCGGUGUAGCGGUGAAAUGCGUAGAUAUCGGAAGGAACACCAGUGGCGAAGGCGGCUACCUGGACUUUAACUGACACUGAGGCGCGAAAGCGUGGGGAGCGAACAGG